rnacentral:rRNA from 1 species
GCUUACGGCCCACACCUCCUGAGCACGCCCGAUCUCGUCUGAUCUCGGAAGCUAAGCAGGGUCGGGCCCGGUUAGUACUUGGAUGGGAGGACCGCCUGGAAUACCAGGUGCUGUAAGCC